GCAAUGCCGCGUGAGUGAAGAAGGCCUUCGGGUUGUAAAGCUCUUUUGUCAGGGAAGAAACAGCAGCUCUAACACAGUCUGCGAAUGACGGUACCUGAAGAAUAAGCACCGGCUAACUACGUGCCAGCAGCCGCGGUAAUACGUAGGGUGCGAGCGUUAAUCGGAAUUACUGGGCGUAAAGCGUGCGCAGGCGGUUAUACAAGACAGGCGUGAAAUCCCCGGGCUUAACCUGGGAAUGGCGUCUGUGACUGUAUAGCUAGAGUGUGUCAGAGGGGGGUGGAAUUCCACGUGUAGCAGUGAAAUGCGUAGAUAUGUGGAGGAACACCAAUGGCGAAGGCAGCCCCCUGGGAUAACACUGACGCUCAUGCACGAAAGCGUGGGGAGCAAACAGGAUUAGAUACCCUGGGGAGUCCACGCCCCUUAACCANACUUUNUUNAUUUNUUUGGGGNAAUUUCNCNUUUUNUAAGUAANCGNNANUUUAANCCCCUUUGAAAGNUAA
rnacentral:rRNA from 1 species